UACGUAGGGUGCUAGCGUUGUCCGGAAUCACUGGGUGUAAAGGGAGCGCAGGUGGAUUGGUAAGUCGGUGGUGAAAUUCUCAGGCUCAACCUGGGGACUGCCACCGAUACUGCUGAUCUUGAGUGCGGAAGAGGAAGGCGGAAUUCCUGGUGUAGCGGUGAAAUGCGUAGAUAUCAGGAAGAACACCGGUGGCGAAGGCGGCCUUCUGGUCCGCUACUGACACUCAUGCUCGAAAGCGUGGGGAGCAAACAGGAUUAGAAACCCGGAGU
rnacentral:rRNA from 1 species